ACAGAGGGGGCAAGCGUUAUUCGGAAUUACUGGGCGUAAAGUGUGCGCAGGCGGCUGAGCAAGUCGAGUGUGAAAGCCCCGGGCUUAACUUGGGAAUUGCGCUCGAAACUACUUGGCUGGAGUGUGGCAGAGGAGGGUGGAAUUCCGGGUGUAGCGGUGGAAUGCGUAGAGAUCCGGAAGAACACCGGUGGCGAAGGCGGCCCGCUGGGCAGGAAGACUCCGUGAGGGGUCGGCUGACGCUGAGGCGCGACAGCGUGGGGAGCAAACAGGA
rnacentral:rRNA from 1 species